rnacentral:rRNA from 1 species
UACAGAGGCCUCGAGCGUUAGGCGGAAUCACUGGGCUUAAAGCGUGUGUAGGUGGAUGCCUAAGUACCUUGUGAAAUCCCACAGCUUAACUGUGGAAUUGCUUGGUAUACUGGGUGUCUUGAGCCACUCAGGGGCUACCGGAACAAGCGGUGGAGCGGUGAAAUGCGCAGAUAUCAGGAGGAACACCGGUGGCGAAGGCGGGUCUCUGGGCAACAACUGACGCUGAGGAGCGAAAGCGUGGGGAGCGAACAGG